UACGGAGGGUGCAAGCGUUGUUCGGAUUUACUGGGCGUAAAGGGCGCGCAGGCGGCGUUCCAAGUCGGGUGUGAAAGCCCCGGGCUCAACCUGGGAACUGCACUCGAGACUGGAGCGCUAGAGUUCGGGAGAGGAUGGCGGAAUUCCCAGUGUAGAGGUGAAAUUCGUAGAUAUUGGGAAGAACACCGGUGGCGAAGGCGGCCAUCUGGACCGAGACUGACGCUGAGGCGCGAAAGCGUGGGGAGCAAAAAGG
rnacentral:rRNA from 1 species